rnacentral:rRNA from 1 species
UAGGGAAUAUUGGUUAAUGUGCGAAAGCGCGAACCAGCAACGCCGCGUGUGCGAUGAAGGCCUUCGGGUCGUAAAGCACUUUUUGCAGGGAAGAGGAAGGACGGUACCUGCAGAAUAAGUCUCGGCUAACUACGUGCCAGCAGCCGCGGUAAAACGUAGGAGACGAGCGUUAUCCGGAUUUACUGGGCGUAAAGCGCGUGCAGGCGGCAUGGCAAGUUGGAUGUGAAAGCUCCCGGCUUAACUGGGAGAGGUCGUUCAAUACUGCCAGGCUUGAGAGUGGUAGAGGGAAGCGGAACUCUGGGUGUAGUGGUGAAAUGCGUAGAUAUCCGGAGGAACACCAGUGGCGAAAGCGGCUUCCUGGCCCAUUUCUGACGCUCAGACGCGAAAGCUAGGGCAGCAAACGG